rnacentral:rRNA from 1 species
ACCGGCAGCUCCCGUGGUGGCCAUAAUGAGGGGGCCUAAAGCGUUCGUAGCCGGUUUGAUAAGUCUCUGGUGAAAUCCCGCAGCUUAACUGUGGGACUUGCUGGAGAUACUAUCAGACUUGAGGUCGGGAGAGGUUAGGGGUACUCCCAGGGUAGGGGUGAAAUCCUAUAAUCCUGGGAGGACCACCUGUGGCGAAGGCGCCUAACUGGAACGAACCUGACGGUGAGUAACGAAAGCCAGGGGCGCGAACCG